UUUGCUUAUGUCAUGCAUGACAUCAUCCUCCACCAUUUGCCUAUAAAUACAAAGCCUCCCCCCACCCAUUUUCUUAAAGCUAAGAGCCAAAUAUAUGCUGAGAUUUUGAAGUGAAAAUACUCUCCCAAAGUUUAUUCAAGCACCCACCAUAUUUACUUCAUCUUUAAAACCUUCGAUUCUUCAUAUACUUCGUUAUAUACACAAGGUUUUAAACCCCGAGGCUUCGUACCACCCAACCUAGCCAAAUCUCGCCUAGCUCAUUUUCAUACCACUCUUUUUGUCCUAUGGAAGGGCUCUCCAAAGUUCGUGUGCAAAGCCAAAAUCCGGUCGAACCUCCGACGAAUUUUUCCGGCGAACUUUUUCUCUCUUUGUUUACAAAACGCACGAGUUGGCCACUCGUUAUAUAUUUGUGCGUGUGUUUUGUCCCGGAACCUAACUCGUAUCCUUUGAGAUUUCCUCACCAAACUUUGGAGGGAUCUUUGCCUUGGCACGGAAAGCCGGAUAUAAGGCCAAAGGUAAUAAGUUAGUUAUUGUUGUGCGUGUUAUUUGUGCUUAAAUGUUAUAUCCAUACCCCCAACAUACCCUUUCUCGUUUGGUGAACGUUUCCAUAUGUGCUGUGCUUCGUGGAAAUUCUAACCUUACGAGUUUAGCGGUUCCCGAUCCCGUGUGUGUGAGUGUGAUUAUCGACUGCGUCUUAUAUCUAUAAAUCACUCAACACUAAUUAAUAUAACUCUCGUAGCUUGCCCGUACGUGGCUUGCUCAGGUUAUUAAAAUCAAUCCGAUUUAAAAUCAACUAUUUAUAUUUUCCGCGCGAUAUAUAUUGUUGGACUAAUCACCGUUAGUUUUGUUAUAAUUGACGAACCUUAUACCUGACCGUGAUUAUUGGACUGACUUAGCGGACUAAAAAUCUUAUUAAAACAAGGAUAUAUUUUUGUAGAUAUUGUAUUCUAACUUUUGCAGUGAGGUGAAGUGAAGUGAGGUGAUCUUCGUUCUAAGACCCAAGUCCUUGACGUAUUGACGGGGAGUUAAUAGUCAUUGCACCGUGAAGAAGAGGAAAGACCCGAGAUCUAACACCUAAGACCCGAGACCGGCAAAAGGUGUAGAAGUACAAAGACUACACAAGGUUCUACAUCGACUUUGAGGAAGUAACGGGGAGUUACGUUCCAAGACAAGCUUUGUAGGUGUUUUUACAUUUAUAGUGAGGGGGUAACAGGAAGUUAUGCUCCAAGAUAUAUAUUUGUAAAGGCUUCUCCGCCUACUUUAAAAGAGUAUCUUUAUAGUAGAGAAAAUCUCGAGUCCGGGGAGGAGCUCGGGGACUGGACUAGGGGUGAGUGGACUCCAUCGGUUGAGUUAGCCACCGCGAACCAGGAUAAAAUCCCUCGUGUGGUAUUUUUCUUUCUUUGC